ACGAAAAACAGAUUUGACGAGAUGCACGAUUGCUGAUUCGCUGACACGUAAAAAUUGCGGGAAAAAAUUAAAAUCUAUGAGAGGAUUGGAGACUCAUCACUGCUGUUGUCGAUUGCAAUUUCUUUUUAAAUGCCAGAUCCGCAUGGUUUCCAUCACUUUUAAGCUAGCAACGAAGACUCACUUGGAGACGGCGCAUAUUGAUUUAUUUCUCGGCAGAAUUCAAUAUAGACACUUCAAUGAGAUAUGGAUUGAUUCUACAAGAGAUUUCACAGCAUACCGCUAAGAGAAUACGAACUAAUUGGCAUACUUUGCAGAUGAGUUUAUGGGAAUCAAAAAGUGUCUAGAGCAAGCAAAUCUGCAUUUAUGCCGAAAGUACAAUCCAACGCGAGCAAAUUAUUGGUCCAUUAAUAAUCAUUGGAAAACUAAACGUAGCAAGUAUGACAUUUCGAAAAAAU